GACGAACGCUGGCGGCGUGCUUAACACAUGCAAGUCGAACGGAAAGGCCCUGCUUUUGUGGGGUGCUCGAGUGGCGAACGGGUGAGUAACACGUGAGUAACCUGCCCUUGACUUUGGGAUAACUUCAGGAAACUGGGGCUAAUACCAGAUAGGAGCUCCUGCUGCAUGGUGGGGGUUGGAAAGUUUCGGCGGUUGGGGAUGGACUCGCGGGUUAUCAGCUUGUUGGUGGGGUAGUUGCAUACCAAGGCUUUGGCGGGUAGCCGGCCUGAGAGGGUGGACGGGCACAAGGGGACUAAGAUAGGGACCAGUCUCGUACGGUGGGCAGCAGGGGGGAGUAUGGUCCAGUGGGCGGAAGCCUGAUGCGGAAGCCCCGCGUGCGGGAUGACGGCCUUCGGGUUGUGAACCGCAUUCGCUUGUGACGCAGCGUGUGUGACGGUAAUGAGUAAAGAAGCACCGGCUAACUACGUG
rnacentral:rRNA from 1 species